rnacentral:rRNA from 1 species
GGAGUAUGUGGUUUAUUCGAAGCAACGCGAAGAACCUUACCAGGUCUUGACAUCCUGAGAAUCCUUAAGAGAUUAGGGAGUGCCUUCGGGAACUCAGAGACAGGUGGUGCAUGGUUGUCGUCAGCUCGUGUCGUGAGAUGUUGGGUUAAGUCCCGCAACGAGCGCAACCCUUGCUAUUAGUUGCUACGCAAGAGCACUCUAAUAGGACUGCCGUUGACAAAACGGAGGAAGGUGGGGACGACGUCAAAUCAUCAUGCCCCUUAUGACCUGGGCUACACACGUACUACAAUGGCCAUUAACAGAGGGAAGCAAAACCGCGAGGCAGAGCAAACCCCUAAAAAUGGUCCCAGUUCGGAUUGUAGGCUGCAACCCGCCUACAUGAAGUUGGAAUUGCUAGUAAUCGCGGAUCAGCAUGCCGCGGUGAAUACGUUCCCGGGCCUUGUACACACCGCCCGU